CUCAAUAAUUGCAUCAAUAAUAUUUAGAAAUAUUAAUUUCCAAAGAUGUAAAUGUUUUUGUUUCUGUUGAACACAUUGUAGCAGAGGACUUCAUGGGGAGUCUAAACAAAGAGACAUGGGUGACCUCAAGGAAGCAUUUGGACAAGUGGAAUGAGAUUCUGUUUUCCUUCAUGUUUACCUUAUUUAUUUAUACAUUUAAAGGUUAUGCCCUUUUCCUAUCUGCAGGACAAAAAUCCACACAAAUACAAGGCACACUAGUGAUGUUAAACUGGGCAUUAUUUAUGCCACAAUUAAAAGAAAAUUAAGUGAUCUGGAAACUGAGUGUUAUAGUUUUAGAUAUUUAUGGGCAAAAGUUUAAGAUUUGCGUAAAAUUUUUAAAUGAGUAUGACAUACUAAUAUGUCCCUCUUUUUCUUUCCAAGAGAUUAUUGGUGAUAUACACUGUGAGCAUGUCUGCAUAUGCCAAACACGGUAAUUCAGAAUUUUACUUUGUAGUGAAGGUUCAAGUAAAAUAGAUCUCUUUAGCUAUAGUGACUGCAGAAUAGUCAGCAAAAUGCUGCAAUCACCACCAUUAAGAAAUUUUGAAUGACUGCCUUUAGAUGCUGCAUAAAGCUUAUUGAUGUGGGGGAAAAAGAUCAUUUUGGAAUACUGAACAUUUAUCAUGGUACUAUUGCCAAGUUUCUAAUUAUAUCUUAAGGCAUGCCUUUGUGAAAGAAACUCCACAGAACUGAAUCUACUGUCAAAUUCCACUGAUGUUGUUAACAAGAAAUGACAGAGCAGCAUCAAGGCUAAUGAUACCUCACCUUAAGCAAUUCAUCCUAAACCAGCGAUUGAUAUUUGUCUAUAAUUCUCUUCUCAUCUAUACUUACAAAUUUUUAUAUUUUGACCAUAUGACUCAAGUGUAUAUGAUAAUGAGCUGAUGAACUUUUGUGUCUAUAUGUAAAUUCCAUUUGAUAAUGGCAGUGUUCCAUUUUCAAUGCUUAUUCAGAGCUUAACAG
rnacentral:lncRNA from 1 species